rnacentral:rRNA from 1 species
CGCCAGACUCCUACGGGAGGCAGCAGUGGGGAAUAUUGCACAAUGGGGGGAACCCUGAUGCAGCGACGCCGCGUGGGUGAAGGAGUACUUCGGUACGUAAAGCCCUAUCAGCAGGAAAGAAAAUGACGGUACCUGACUAAGAAGCACCGGCUAAAUACGUGCCAGCAGCCGCGGUAAUACGUAUGGUGCAAGCGUUAUCCGGAUUUACUGGGUGUAAAGGGAGCGCAGGCGGCGCGUUAAGCCUGGUGUGAAAGCCCGCGGCCCAACCGCGGGACUGCAUUGGGAACUGGCGCGCUGGAGUGCCGGAGGGGUAGGCGGAAUUCCUAGUGUAGCGGUGAAAUGCGUAGAUAUUAGGAGGAACACCAGUGGCGAAGGCGGCUUACUGGACUGUAACUGACGUUGAGGCUCGAAGGCGUGGGGAGCAAACAGGAUUAGAUACCCCCGUAGAC